GAUGGGCACGGUAUCUCGUGCCUGUAGUCCCAGCUUCUCUGGAGGCUGAGGCAAGAGGAUAACUUGAGUCCGGGAGUUCUGGGCUGUAGUGUGCUAUGUCAAUUGGGUGUCUGCACUAAGUUCAACAUCACUAUGGUGACCUUCCUGGAGCAGACCACCAGGUUGCCUAAGCCAGGGUAAAAAGGCCCAGGUUGGAAAUAGAGCAGGUCAAAACUCCCAUGCUGAUCACGGGACCAUGAUCAUAGUGGGACCAUGCCUAGGAAAUAAGUGAGACCCUGUCUUGG
rfam:Papio anubis isolate 1X1155 chromosome 14, whole genome shotgun sequence.